UGGCCUACGGGGGGCAGCAGUGGGGAAUAUUGCACAAUGGGGGAAACCCUGAUGCAGCGACGCCGCGUGAAGGAAGAGGUAUUUCGGUAUGUAAACUUCUAUCAGCAGGGAAGAAAGUGACGGUACCUGACUAAGAAGCCCCGGCUAACUACGUGCCAGCAGCCGCGGUAAUACGUAGGGGGCAAGCGUUAUCCGGAUUUACUGGGUGUAAAGGGAGCGUAGACGGCAGCGCAAGUCUGGAGUGAAAUGCCGGGGCCCAACCCCGGAACUGCUCUGGAAACUGUGAAGCUGGAGUGCAGGAGAGG
rnacentral:rRNA from 1 species